ACUAUUCUAUAUUUUUCUAGAUUUUUAUCUAUAUUCAGGCCUAUUGAACCUCAAAUUUCUUUUUCAUUGAAGGAUCAGCUUCAAAGGACGGACACUCAAGUGAAUUCAAGCAUUGCAUUUACUCUUCCUGGACUGGAUCAACAUGAGUUCAUCAGUGCAUGCCCCGGAUUCCUGUUCCUGAUGGCACCACGAUGCAGGAUCUCCUCUUGCUGAGGAGCAGGUUUCACAUCCAGGCUCUCAGUGCAGAGAGAUGGGCUCUCUGUGCCCAGCCUGCCUGCACAGAGAUGGGCUCUCCUGAGGCGGAUACGCUCCCCAAACCUCCAAAGAGCCUGUGCAUAGGUACCUACGAGCACUCACCCGUACACCAGGAGGAGAUCCAGAGGGAUGGUCAUGGGUCUCUGCAGCUUCAUCCCACAAGUUGUAACUUGUCCACGACCUGAUGUGGAGAGAGGCCUGUUGAGACCGUCUGUGUGAGAGCAUGAAAGGACCCAUCCCAACUCCUGGCACAGCACCAAGCCCCUGAACACCAACCUGGCAACCACAGAUCCAUCAUGGAAGUUGGCCUUGUAGU